UACGUAGGGGGCAAGCGUUGUCCGGAUUCAUUGGGCGUAAAGAGCGUGUAGGCGGCCAGGUAGGUCGGUUGUGAAAACUGGAGGCUCAACCUUCAGACGUCGACCGAAACCAUCUGGCUAGAGUCCGGGAGAGGAGAGUGGAAUUCCUGGUGUAGCGGUGAAAUGCGCAGAUAUCGGAGGAACACAUCUGGCGAAGGCAGCUCUG
rnacentral:rRNA from 1 species